rnacentral:lncRNA from 1 species
GAUUUGCUUGAGUUGGAGGUGCAACGUUUAUCCUCCUUUUCCCUUCAUAUGAUCUUUCCCCCUUUUUGGCAUCAUAAAAAAGAUGAGCCUCAGAUACUCGUAGUGUGUCAAGAUCUCUUCGAGCAGUGUUGGCACCAGUGUGACCAAUCACAUACUGAAGUUCAGUGACUCUCCUUUCCAGAGAUUUAAGUCUCUUAUUAUGUCUCUUAAAGAAAAGUAAAAUCAAGUACAU